CCUACGGGUGGCAGUAGUGGGGGAUAUUGCACAAUGGGGGGAACCCUGAUGCAGCGACGCCGCGUGGGUGAAGAAGCGCCUCGGCGCGUAAAGCCCUGUCAGCAGGGAAGAAAAUGACGGUACCUGACGAAGAAGCCCCGGCUAACUACGUGCCAGCAGCCGCGGUAAUAGGUAGGGGGCAUGCGUGAUCCGGAUUUACUGGGUGUAAGGGGGGCGCAGACGGCGAUGCAAGCCAGGAGUGAAAGCCCGGGGCCCAACCCCGGGACUGCUCGUGGAACUGCGUGGCUGGAGGGCAGGAGGGGCAGGCGGAAUUCCUGGUGUAGCGGUGAAAUGCGUAGAGAUCAGGAGGAACACCGGUGGCGAAGGCGGCCUGCUGGACUGCAACUGACGUUGAGGCCCGAAAGCGUGGGGAGCAAACAGGAUUAGAUACCCGGGUAGUC
rnacentral:rRNA from 1 species